GAUGAACGCUGGCGGCGUGCUUAACACAUGCAAGUCGAACGAUGAAGCCCAGCUUGCUGGGUGGAUUAGUGGCGAACGGGUGAGUAACACGUGAGUAACCUGCCCUUAACUCUGGGAUAAGCCUGGGAAACUGGGUCUAAUACCGGAUAGGAGCGUCCACCGCAUGGUGGGUGUUGGAAAGAUUUAUCGGUUUUGGAUGGACUCGCGGCCUAUCAGCUUGUUGGUGAGGUAAUGGCUCACCAAGGCGACGACGGGUAGCCGGCCUGAGAGGGUGACCGGCCACACUGGGACUGAGACACGGCCCAGACUCCUACGGGAGGCAGCAGUGGGGAAUUUUGCACAAUGGGCGCAAGCCUGAUGCAGCGACGCCGCGUGGGGGAUGACGGCCUUCGGGUGGUAAACCUCUUUCAGUAGGGAAGAAGCGAAAGUGACGGUACCUGCAGAAGAAGCACCGGCUAACUACGU
rnacentral:rRNA from 1 species